rnacentral:rRNA from 1 species
CACGUAGGGCGCAAGCGUUGUCCGGAAUUAUUGGGCGUAAAGAGCUCGUAGGCGGACUGUCACGUCUGCUGUGAAAAGCUGGGGCUUAACCCUGGCCUUGCAGUGGAUACGGGCAGACUAGAGGUAGGUAGGGGAGAAUGGAAUUCCCGGUGUAGCGGUGAAAUGCGCAGAUAUCGGGAGGAACACCUGUGGCGAAGGCGGCUCUCUGGGACGGUACUGACGCUGAGACGCGAAAGCGUGGGGAGCGAACGAGGA